UCCAGACUCCUACGGGAGGCAGCAGUGGGGAAUAUUGCACAAUGGGGGAAACCCUGAUGCAGCAACGCCGCGUGAGUGAAGAAGUCAUUCGUGAUGUAAAGCUCUAUCAGCAGGGAAGAAAAUGACGGUACCUGAGUAAGAAGCCCCGGCUAACUACGUGCCAGCAGCCGCGGUAAUACGUAGGGGGCAAGCGUUAUCCGGAUUUACUGGGUGUAAAGGGGGCGCAGACGGCAGCGCAAGCCAGGAGUGAAAGCCCGGGGCCCAACCCCGGGACUGCUCUUGGAACUGCGCGGCUGGAGUGCAGGAGGGGCGGGCGGAAUUCCUGGUGUAGCGGUGAAAUGCGUAGAUAUCAGGAGGAGCACCGGUGGCGAAGGCGGCCUGCUGGACCGUGACUGACGUUGAGGCUCGAGAGCGUGGGGAGCAAACAGGAUUAGAUCCCCGUGUA
rnacentral:rRNA from 1 species